AGGGUUCGAUUAUGGCUCAGGAUGAACGCUAGCGACAGGCUUAACACAUGCAAGUCGAGGGGCAGCACAGUUUGUAGCAAUACGAACGGGUGGCGACCGGCGCACGGGUGAGUAACGCGUAUGCAACCUGUCCUACAGAGGGGGAUAGCCCGGCGAAAGUCGGAUUAAUACCCCAUGAAACAGGGGUUCCGCAUGGAAAUAUUUGUUAAAGGAUUUAUCCGCUGUAGGUUGGGCAUGCGUUCCAUUAGGCAGUUGGCGGGGUAACGGCCCACCAAACCGACGAUGGAUAGGGGUUCUGAGAGGAAGGUCCCCCACAUUGGUACUGAGACACGGACCAA
rnacentral:rRNA from 1 species